rnacentral:rRNA from 1 species
ACAGCAGCAGCCGCGGUAAUACAGAGGGUGCAAGCGUUAAUCGGAAUUACUGGGCGUAAAGCGCGCGUAGGUGGUUUGUUAAGUUGGAUGUGAAAUCCCCGGGCUCAACCUGGGAACUGCAUCCAAAACUGGCAAGCUAGAGUAUGGUAGAGGGUGGUGGAAUUUCCUGUGUAGCGGUGAAAUGCGUAGAUAUAGGAAGGAACACCAGUGGCGAAGGCGACCACCUGGACUGAUACUGACACUGAGGUGCGAAAGCGUGGGGAGCAAACAGGAUUAGAUACCCCUGUAGUCCCUGUCUCUUAUAC